rnacentral:rRNA from 1 species
GACGAACGCUGGCGGCGUGCUUAACACAUGCAAGUCGAACGGUAAGGCCCUUCGGGGUACACGAGUGGCGAACGGGUGAGUAACACGUGGGUGAUCUGCCCUGCACUUCGGGAUAAGCCUGGGAAACUGGGUCUAAUACCGGAUAGGACCACUGCCUGCAUGGGUGGUGGUGGAAAGCUUUUGGGGUGUGGGAUGGGCACGCGGCCUAGCAGCUUGUUGGUGGGGUGGUGGCCUACCAAGGCGACGACGGGUAGCCGGACUGAGGGGGUGACCGGCCACACUGGGACUGAGAUACGGCCCAGAGUGCUACGGGAGGAAGCAGUGGGGAGUAUUGCAAAAUGGGCGCAAGCCUGAUGAAGCGACUCCGCGUGAGGGAUGACUGCCUUCGGGUUGUAAACCUUUUUCAGCACCGACGAAGCGCAAGUGACGGUAGGUGCAGAAUAAGGACCGGCCAACUACGUGCCAGCCGCCGCCGUAA